rnacentral:rRNA from 1 species
UACGGAGGGGCUAGCGUUGUUCGGAAUUACUGGGCGUAAAGCGCGCGUAGGCGGACCUGCAAGUCGGGGUGAAAGCCCGAGGCUCAACCUCGGAACUGCCUUCGAUACUGCGGUCUCGAGUCGGGAGAGGUGAGUGGAAUUCCGUAGUGUAGAGGUGAAAUUCGAUAGAUAUCAGGAGGAACACCGAUGGCGAAGGCAGAU